rnacentral:rRNA from 1 species
UACGUAGGGGGCGAGCGUUAUCCGGAAUUACUGGGUGUAAAGGGUGCGUAGGCGGUACGGCAAGUUCGGUGUGAAACCCACAGGCUUAACCUGUGGCAUGCAUCGAAAACUACAGAACUAGAGUGCAGGAGAGGAAAGCGGAAUUCCUAGUGUAGCGGUGAAAUGCGUAGAUAUUAGGAAGAACACCAGUGGCGAAGGCGGCUUUCUGGACUGCAACUGACGCUGAAGCACGAAAGCGUGGGGAGCAAACAGG